AGAGUUUGAUCCUGGCUCAGGACGAACGCUGGCGGCGUGCCUAACACAUGCAAGUCGAACGGAGUGUCUAGCAAUAGAUACUUAGUGGCGAACGGGUGAGUAACGCGUAGACAACCUGCCUCUAAAAUGGGGACAACACCGCGAAAGUGGUGCUAAUACCGAAUGUGGUAACUUGGUUGCAUGACUGAGUUAAGAAAGGU
rnacentral:rRNA from 1 species